rnacentral:rRNA from 1 species
CCGUAGCCCAAGAGAUCGGGAUAACACCUGGAAACAGAUGCUAAUACCGGAUAACAACAGAUGAUGCCUAUCAACUGUUUAAAAGAUGGUUCUGCUAUCACUCUUGGAUGGACCUGCGGUGCAUUAGCUAGUUGGUAGGGUAACGGCCUGCCAAGGCGAUGAUGCAUAGCCGAGUUGAGAGACUGAUCGGCCACAUUGGGACUGAGACGCGGCCCAAACUCCUACGGGAGGCAGCAGUU